AUGACGGGUGGGCUCGCAUUGCGCGCUCAUUGGUUGGGUGAGCUCUGCCCAUGUCCGCGAGAGAUUCGCCAAUCCGGUCUGCCCGCGCGUCACGCUCGACCCGCAAAAAGUGCAAAAGGGUCAAAAAAAACCCUAGCCGCCGCCCCUUCUUGUCCAACCCUCGCCCCUCCGCCUCCUCUCCUCCCCACUCCCUCCUCUCCCAGGCCGCCGCCCUCGACACGCCGCCAGGGUGCCAUCGACACGUCAGGGAUAGGCAGUGGUGGAGCGCAGCCCGAGCCCAGCAGCAGUCCACUCCUAACCCCAAGCAAGAGCGAGCAGCGGAUUGGAUCAAGGGAGCCCUCGCGGCCACGCCACUGGCGCCUGGAUUUGCUAGCCGUCGCCUGGAUCCGCCCUAGCCGCCGCCUCGAGUCACCUCCAUCGUUGAUGUGGGUCAACCCCACCGCUGCCGCCAGGAAUCCCAUCCCGGCAAGCCGGCGGUGCCUCCUCCCCGUGCGCCCACGGUCUCCCAUGCGCUCAACCCGGCCAACCUCAGUCCCCUCACCCUCUGGUCGCCGUCCUCCCGCGCCCUCACCCGCUGGUGGCCCUCCCAUGCAUCUCGGGCUUGAUGGCUGCUUCCCCACCUCGCCCCUUCAGCUCCGCCAUCGCCUCCCUCCCUUGCUGAUAUCCAUCUUAUCUCUUUUUGCAGGGGGCUUGUCCUUCGGUGGUGGUCAUCCGCCGUUUGAGAUUGGAGGGAGACUAGGAGACCCUGGCGGAAGCGAGCCUGCUAGCGGAGGCUCCAGGGAUGCUAGGAUUUUCAGGAUGAGCCUUCCUAUCCAAAAUUAUCGGAUAAAUUCAACAUAUCUGUGGAAAUCUAGCCUUUGGAAAAUGAAACAGAAACCUUACUUGAGAGCAGGUAGAGGCGUGGAGCCAAUGGUGAUGUUGUUGUUGCCUGCUCUUCUAAACUACUGCUUGUUCAUCGUUUGCUGUUUUGCGUAUCAAGUUUUCUUCUCUGUGGCAACGAAGUUAAGUUUGCAAGGAUUUGCUGCUGGAGGGCAUGUGUUGUAUGUCGCUGCUGAACAGAAGCAGGAUGCAACCAUAAAGAUUUUGUUGGAUCACCAUUCAGAUAAGCAGGAUGCAACCAUAAAGAUUUUGUUGGAUCACCAUUCAGAUUUUGGUAUUACCCAGCAACAAGCUAACCGUGCUACUGGUGAAGGCUUAGCAGGCUUGCAGUGGAGGAAAGGGGUCUGGCAAGCCGUAUGGAAAGCUCAUUGCCCUCCCAAAAAAGACGGGGUGUGGAGUUGGAUACUCAUUGCUGCGUUUGCAGAUGUCUGUUUGAAGAUGGCGGCCAUCUUUUCCUUCGCUUUUUUCACGCCCUCUCCAAAGCCUGUUAUACAGGAUACGAGCAAGUGGAAGCCGUCAUCUGAGUUCGUCAAGAUCAACCUGGACUGUGCAUACUAUCCAGAAUCUGCCGCUGGACCGCUCAGUAACUUGUCUGCACUGUUACAGGCUGAAAGCAAUGCGAUUUUGAAGGCGAUCGACCUUUCAGAAAAUUUUGGCAUGGGCAAAGUCAUCUUUGAAACGGAUUGUCUAAAUCUGAAACAGGUUGUGUGUUCGGACGCCAGUGACAGAGCAGCUCUAGGAGCUUUAUUCAGAGAGGCAAAAUAUCGUCUCCGUUUGGGUUUCAUCGAGUACCGGAUGGAGCUCUCUCCCCGAAACUGUAACACACCAGCGCAUGUGCUGGCAAGUCUUGGUUCUCGGGAAGUUCAAAGUGACCAUACUCUGUGGAUCACGAAUUUUCCUGCUGAUGUAACCCAUGCAGCGGCCGGCGAUCUUGCCGCGACCACAUGUUAAUGGAAUGCAAGGUGUUUUAUAUAAAAA
rnacentral:rRNA from 1 species